AAAGAGCAUGGGAUCAUCAUAUUGUGGCAGGAUAGUUAUUGUUGUGACGUCAGAUAGUAAUAACGUAUCGGAGAGCACCGGUGCGUAUAAUGGAGGGUAUCAGGUUCAUGGUGAUUGAACCGUCAUUUUUGAGGUGUUCUUCCGGUUUCCGGUUCCGUGUGUCAACAGAGGCGCUGGGUGGUACUGGUGCGGCGGUUCUGAUUUGUUUCUAGUCACUCGGUUACCUGGGAGGAUCUGUAGGCCAAAAGGCCAAGAGGCCUGACUUUCCUUCAAUUUUCAAGUGCGUGUCUGUGCACCGUGUGCUGUGUGACCACUGACAGAAAAUCACUGGGCACUGAGUGAGUGAGUGUGUUGUGAUUGUGCACAUGCGUGGUGUGGAUAUUUAAAAUUACUUUUGUUUCAGCCUGUCUUGUGCCGAUCAGCUGCAGCCCUGCACGAGUUUUGAUCUCUCUUUUUGUUUAUUUCCUGUUUAUUAAUAAAUGAGAUUUUAUUUUUGUA